rfam:Gossypium raimondii Chr06_contig_82, whole genome shotgun sequence.
UAUUAAAAAUUUCAUCUAUUUGUAUUGUUAAGAACUGACAUAAUUGACAAAAUAAUCAAACAAUGACUUGUGGCAUACAUGUGUACCUCAUGCUAAUAAAGUACAUGAUUAGUUUGUAACAUCAGAAAUGGAUAAAAUUUUUAACA